rnacentral:rRNA from 1 species
UACGUAGGGGGCAAGCGUUGUCCGGAAUCAUUGGGCGUAAAGAGCGUGUAGGCGGCCCGGUAAGUCCGCUGUAAAAGUCAAAGGCUCAACCUUUGAAUGUCAGUGGAUACUGCCGGGCUAGAGUCCGGAAGAGGCGAGUGGAACUCCUGGUGUAGCGGUGGAAUGCGCAGAUAUCAGGAAGAACACCAACGGCGAAGGCAGCUCGCUGGGGACGGUACUGACGCUGAGACGCGAAAGCGUGGGGAGCGAACAGG